rnacentral:lncRNA from 1 species
UAACAAUGUUGAGAUAAUUGGAGAUUUUGUGGUAAUUUCCACAGAUCCAAUUCUUCUUCUUUCAAAUUUCUACUGUCACACCAUAAGUUUUCAGCUUUAGAAAACCAGGUAUGAUGCAAUUUCUUUCAUGAUAGCUUUGUUUAAAUCUUUAUAACUCCUUAUUUUUUUUUGUAUAUGUGUAUCAAACUAAGGAUAUAAAACUUUUGUUUACAUGUAUGUCAAACCAACAUUAUAUUCUCUGCUGCAACAUGUAUACAUUUCUGCAAAAUUAUGACGAGUGUCUCUUGCUCGUGGACUUGGGUGUUUUGAAGUUUGUGUCAUAAAAUUUGCAUAUGAGAAUUUGAUUCUCAUAAUAGUAGUAGAAACAAUAAGAACAUUGUAAGAGUGCUUAAUACAUCAUAAAGUAAUUUAUUGUAUCGAAAUAGUCAUUUAUUAAGUUCAUUUUAUUAUAUUUUUUAUGAGUCGGGAAUUUUUUAUAUUUGUAACUAUUUUUUUUAUUUAAAAAUUAAUUUAAAUAACUACUAGAAUAUCAUUAAUUAUUCCAAAGACGGUUAAAGUUGCACAAAAAAAAAGACAGAAAAAGAGAGAAAGAAAGGAAACAGCAAUAAUAAGACAUGAAAAAGAAGUAUCCACACACUCCCUUCAUUCUCAUAAAGCAAAUGGUUCUUGACAACAUGAUGAUAGACUUGAUGAAUGGUUUUUUUUUUUUUUUAAAAAAAAAAGCAACGAAAAGGAAGAAUAGCAUAAUCUGCUUCCCUUUCUUUCUUACAAAGACAAAUGCGGCACAGUGAAGCUCAAGUUGAGUAAUUUAUUUUAGACUGACUUAGAACUCAUAGGACGAAGGACUAUGAUCAGUGAUGUAUAAGUUUCCAUAGAUAAGUCCAGCUAGCCCUCCACCAAUAAGAGGCCCAACCCAGUAGAUCCAGUUGUCAUGGAAGUCACCACUAGCCACAGCUGGCCCAAAGGAUCGGGCUGGGUUCAUGGACCCACCAGAAAAUGGGCCUGCAGCCAAGAUGUUGGCACCAACAAUGAAACCGAUGGCAAUGGGGGCAAUGGUGCCGAGGGAUCCCUUCUUGGGGUCAGCAGCAGUUGCGUAGACAGUGUAAACCAAGGCAAACGUGAUGAUGAUCUCCAUGACGACUCCUUCAAUGGCUCCUACUCCAGCUGCAACACUGUGGAUGGGGACUGCCUGUGAAACCAAGUAAUUAUAGAAAGUCAAGCUUCAGGGACAAAUAAAUUCAAGUAUUUGUACAUGGAUAAUGGGGCAGAUAAAUAAAUCACAUCUCUCUUGAAAACUGCACGAGGAGUGUGAUAAUUAAGAGGUCUAGUGUAAAAAUGCAUGGAAGAUUUUGUAUAUAAUAUAAUUAGGAGGUCUCAGCAGAGUGAUUCAGUUAAUAAUAAGAUAUAACAUUAUUACCAAGCCUCCGGUGACAACUUUGAGAAGGUAGCAUGCAACGAUGGAGCCAAGGAGUUGGGCAAUCCAGUAGAAGAUGCCGGUGAGGAUGGUCAUUUGACCACCAAGAGCCAAGCCAAGAGUGACAGCAGGGUUGACAUGGCCACCGGAGAUGUUGGCACCAACAGCAACUGCAACAAAGAGCGCAAAUCCAUGGCAAACAGCAAUGGCUACUAGCCCGG